GUGGGGAAUCUUCCGCAAUGGGCGAAAGCCUGACGCAGCCAUGCCGCGUGAAUGAUGAAGGUCUUAGGAUUGUAAAAUUCUUUCACCGGGGACGAUAAUGACGGUACCCGGAGAAGAAGCUCCGGCUAACUUCGUGCCAGCAGCCACGGUAAUACGAAGGGGGCUAGCGUUGCUCGGAAUUACUGGGCGUAAAGGGCGCGUAGGCGGACAGCUUAGUCAGAGGUGAAAGCCCAGGGCUCAACCUUGGAAUUGCCUUUGAUACUGGCUGUCUUGAGUUUGGGAGAGGUGAGUGGAACUCCGAGUGUAGAGGUGAAAUUCGUAGAUAUUCGGAGGAACACCAGUGGCGAAGGCGGCUCACUGGCUCGAUACUGACGCUGAGGUGCGAAAGCGUGGGGAGCAAACAGGACUAGAAACCCUAGUAGUCC
rnacentral:rRNA from 1 species